rnacentral:rRNA from 1 species
CACAAGAGCGUGGAGCAUGUGGCUUAAUUUGACUCAACGCGGGAAAUCUUACCGGGUCCGGACACACUGAGGAUUGACAGGCGAUAUAACGAUUCUUAUUUCUUUUAAUAAGAUAUUCGUUAUUCAAAUAUGCUAGUCCUUUCAUGAUUAUGUGGUAGGUGGUGCAUGGCCGUUCUUAGUUCGUGGAGUGAUCUGUCUGCUUAAUUGCGUUUCACUAAGGUCCCAUAUACUAAAGGCAUGUCGACCUCUCUUUAGGAUUAAUUAAGGCUUGGACCCCUCUUAUUAUUAUUAAGAGCGAGUGUCUAAUGUCUUGUUAUCCUUUAUAUAAGAUAGUGUCGUAUGCUGUUGGGAUCUGAAAGCAACGAACGUGACCGCAACGUCUUGUUGCCUUACCUAUACUGGUAUUAUACUAUAAUACCGUAUUACUCUUAAGGCUUUAUCUAUAAAACUAGACGGACCGCUGUUUCUUUUCCUUAAACCAGAGGAAGGUUGCGGCAAUAACAGGUCUGUGAUGCCCUUAGAUGUUCCGGGCUGCACACGUGCUACAAUGAUCAGUACAGUGAGCAUCUCAAUUUCUCUUAAUAUAGAAUUCUUCUAUAUAAGAACCGUAUUUUCAAGCAUCUGUCGUUAUUAUAACGAUCAGUAUGCGCGGUAACGCCUGUUUCGAGAGUAAAUGGGUAAUCCAUUGGAAGUAAUGAUUUCUCUAUUUUAUAUAAAUGCACGGUUUAUAUACGGCAUUCAUUCCCGAGGCGCCUUUGUAGCGUCUAUGUGCGGAUGUAUGUUAUGGCUUUGUUA